rnacentral:rRNA from 1 species
CCUACGGGCGGCAGCAGUGGGGAAUAUUGGACAAUGGGCGAAAGCCUGAUCCGGCCAUGCCGCGUGUGUGAAGAAGGCCUUCGGGUUGUAAAGCACUUUCAGUGGGGAAGAAAGCCUUGGGGCUAAUACCCUCGAGGAAGGACAUCACCCACAGAAGAAGCACCGGCUAACUCCGUGCCAGCAGCCGCGGUAAUACGGAGGGUGCGAGCGUUAAUCGGAAUUACUGGGCGUAAAGCGCGCGUAGGCGGUCUGAUAAGCCGGUUGUGAAAGCCCCGGGCUCAACCUGGGAACGGCAUCCGGAACUGUCAGGCUAGAGUGCAGGAGAGGAAGGUAGAAUUCCCGGUGUAGCGGUGAAAUGCGUAGAGAUCGGGAGGAAUACCAGUGGCGAAGGCGGCCUUCUGGACUGACACUGACGCUGAGGUGCGAAAGCGUGGGUAGCAAACAGGAUUAGAUACCCCAGUAGUC